AGAUGUUCAUUCUGCUCCUAAAUAAGCCCAAGUGACGUCAUCUAAUCCAAGUACCAUUCUUUGAUGCUUCAGAACUAAUCAUCACUCUGGUUAUAAUGACAAAAUGGUUAGGACAAGCUGGCUAUUUAUUUUGUUCCUAAAUUAUCCCCCUUCUAUCAGUUGAAGUGGUCAAUAAGUUGAUGGAAGAUAUUUUUUUCUCUUCUCAAUUGGUUUAAUAAACUCCCACCAUUUUUAUCCUGAACAUGAAAGACCUAAAGAAUCCAGAGACCUAAUUGCUGAGAAAGAUGUCAAUUAAAAGUUUGGCUGGCAAUUGUAAGAAAUGCUCCGUGAAGGACUUAAUAUUUUCAUACCUUUUAGGCUGCAAUUGACAAACAUCCCAAACUCAAUUGAAAAAUGUAUACUUCAGGUGCUUCGAGCAGGGAUAGUUUUGUUGAAUGACAAGCUCUCAAUAGCUGAAGCUAUAACUACAAAAGUAGCAUAUAGCUAGCUGGAUUUACAAUAAGGUGAAUGAAAUAUUUAUCUUGUGAUUUCGCAAUUACUUAAAUAUAAAAUGUUUAUAAUUACACAAGAAGGAUUAUUACCAAGAGAGCUUAUAAUGAACACAUUAUUAUUAAUAUCUAUUUGACCACGAUGGUCUUAUCAUGAACUUUUUUUUUCCCAUCAUUAACAUUUAUUGUUAAGUAUCCAUGUGGAAAUCUUAAAUGUAAAGCCUUAAAUAUCAUUGCAGUAAACCUCAGUCAUACAUUAACUGUGUCAAAACAAACUUUCAAACAGAAACAAUUAAUAUAAGGAAAUUGUCUUAC
rnacentral:misc_RNA from 1 species